rnacentral:lncRNA from 1 species
AGGCGUCCGAGAUCUCCAUUCCGGCAUAACACAUCUUUUUGUGCACAUUUAUUCUUUGUUUUCACUUUAAUCUCCAAAAACCAACCAACAAAUCAAAAAUGGGCGCUGAAAAAGUAUCCAUGAACAUCGUUGUCGUCGGACAAGUCCAAUCUGCCAAAGCCGUCAAAACCGUCGCCAAAGCCACACCAUCCACCAACCAACUCAUGAACUGUUAAUUCAUGUACUCCGUUCAUCAAAAACUCAAAAAUGCCAUAGCCCAAGCAGUACAAUAAUAUAUUAAUAUAUUAAUAUGUAAUUCAUAUAAGUAUUGAUACCGGAUAAUAAAUCAAUCAUUUCCGAUAUA